rfam:Gossypium hirsutum cultivar TM-1 chromosome 21, whole genome shotgun sequence
UGUUAAAAAUUUCAUCCAUUUGUACUGUUAAAAACCGGCAUGCCUGACGAAAUAGUCAGACAGUGACACAUGAUUGCCAUGUGCACCUCAUGCUGAGGUGCAGAAAUCAGUUUUUAACAGUAGAAAUGGAUGCAAUUUUUAAAA